AUUUAAAACUUAAUGGUAGACAAAACGGUCUGACACAAUUUGAGCUUGCUAUAGCAGCAAAGUUUUACCUGUUUUGGUGCUCUCUCCUCUGAGACAAGCCGUUAUAUAGACUCAGAUAGU